ACCUGGUUGGUUCAGUUGGUAGAACGUGUGAUACUUGAUCUCAGGGUUGUGAGUUCAAGCCCCACAUUGGGUG
rnacentral:tRNA from 1 species